GUACUUAACGCUAAACAGGCGUAAGGCAGCAACCUAAACCAAAUUUAAGCUUUGCUUUUCUCCGAGUUUGCUACCUCUCGUAUUUCUGUGAAGCGUGCGCUUUCACUUGUGUUCUUUCUGAAUACUCUUCAGUGAGGAUUUUUGUGCUGUGGGUCUAUUGCAAGUAUAUAUCGCCUGCAUACAUCCAUGCGGGUUUGUGGUGCGUGUUGUGAGAGGCAUGGUUCUAUGCAUGGUUGCUCGCAAACAUGGUCUGCAUCGCUCAGAAGUUCGCGCAUUUUUCUUAAUUAGCUGAUCGUUGCGGUCAUUCCUAGUCAUCGCUAUGAUAUGUAUGUAGUGGCUGUGCAUGCGUGAAUAUACUAUCGUUCUUGUCGUUCUUGAAGUCUCAGCCGUGUUUUUCGUCAAUCGUUCGAUAUGACACUGUCUUCCAAGGUUCAUGUUCUGGUUACUGGCUGCAAAGCAAAAGGCUUCAGGAACAUCUCCAGCAUUGCGCACCGCUCUGUAAAUGGACAAAUACAGACAAGUGAGAAAGAUGGAACCCUCAUGAGAUUGGCUGGGCUGCGACCUACAAUCUUGUGGCUUCGACAUGCAUCAACAGCCACUAACAAAAACACCAACGCACUAUCUGAGGCCAAGGAUACAGAUGGAGGGCAGCUUACCUUAGGCCAGAAAGUGAAGCAGAGCACAAAAGACGCAAGCUACUUAGGUGUAAUACUUGCAGGGCUUGGAGUAACAGGCCUAAUGUUUUACACAAUCUUCCAUGAGCUUUUCUCGGGACAUAGCCCCAACUCUGUGUACUCACGAGCUCUGGAACGCUGCCGAGCUGACCCCAGGGUAAAAGCUGCUCUCGGUGAACCUUUGCAAGGACAUGGAGAAACAACCAGCCGAGGACGACGCAGGCAUGUUAGCCACAUGGAAUACAUUAAAGAUGGCAUCAACUACAUGCGUAUGAAGUUCUACAUCAAGGGGCCUAGCAGAUCUGGAACUGUACAUCUUGAAGUCAGAGAGUUAUAGGUUGUUGUAUUCACCACUGAGACUCACUCCUGCACCUUCCAAGUCUUACAGCUUGAAUGAACUUAAGCAUGAUGCUACUCUAAGCGCAAUGCCUCCAUGACUACUGAUAUCUCUGCAAAAUCAAAUGCUUUUGAUACUCAUUGAAAGUCAUAUAGGACAGUCACAAGAACUACGAGUACCGCUACCUGUUUGUUGAUCUUGAUGGCCAACCAAAGCGGACGAUCAUUCUAGAGGACAAUAGGGAAAGCAGAGGUCCCAGCAACACAU